CCAUUGCAUUGUCACCAGUAAAAGACCUUUCCGGAUGGAAGGACAGAUGGGGAUUUGUGCACGUUCUUUGGGUUUCCUCUAUGCAAAUUCUACUCCCUUCAAGUGGAGCACAGUAGACCCUUGCCAAUUUCCUGCUCCCAGCCACUGGGGUGAUGGACCAUGGAGAAUCCUCACUGACUGAGACCAUGCUAAAACAAGGGGUCUUUCUAUGCUGAAAAGUGGAACAGGGAUGUUUCCAGAGUACAUUAGGUUCCCGUUAUAUAUUGCAUCGCUCUACAUUGUUUUAUUAUUAGAACGUUCACCAAUUACUACCCAUGUAUCAAACAGUAUUGCCUUGUUUCAUUGCUUGAGCAUUCCAAUGUUGUUGACUACUUUUCUAGGUGUAGUGUUUACCAAUUACUACCAAUAUAUUUGAAACAGUGUUAUCUUGUUUCAUUACUAGAGUGUUUACUGGGCGGAAUGUGAUACAUCGUCCACUGGCCAAGAUGGAGGAGGAUGUAAACAUGUUGUGUUAAUGUGACAUUAUCUCAGCAUGUUGUUUUUUCUGCUGCAGAACAGUUUUGUUUCCACCCUUCCAACAUGGCUCCAAAGUGGUCACCUUGCCUAGAAGCCGAGAAAAACAAUAACUUUGAUGACAAGAGUACAGUGAUAAACCUGUGUAACAAACUAUGGAACAGAGCAAGUUUGUGAAAUAUUGGAUGUCUUGAGGAAGUAUACAUCCUACCAAAGAAAGUAUUUCAGUAGAAGGUACAUUGCUGUACUCUUUGCUGAUAGUAACAUUGAAGAAGACUGACAAAUGUCAUUCAUCUCUUACUGUCUUGUGGAAGUGUUGUUUGAAGUUCUUUG